UAUAAACGCUGCACAUUAUGAAGCUGCUGUCAGUAUGCUUGUUGCUUUCAGAGUUGGAGUCUGGCAGGAGACUCUAGUGAGCUGCUCGUCAGGAAAGCCUGCAAGUGUGAGCUGGCCCAAGUGGAGGAGGCUCAAAGUCCAAAGGCUGGGAUUGGAAGUCACUGCUUUUUUUUUCUUCAUUCUGUUUGUCUUUAUUUGGUAGUAUUAGGUAGAUUACUUUGCUAUCCAGGGGAUUACUUUUUGUUCAAUUUGAUUUAUUGGUUCUUUUUUUUUUUUUUUAGGUGCUUGAGGCUCAACUGCGUGGCUGCCCAGAUGGUGGUGAGUCUGGUGACUAGGCCUCACCGGCUUUGAUGCUCUACACACAAACUAUACAAAUCAAAAUAUAUGCUAUUACUGAAGAAAUAUGUAAGAAAGAAUACCAACAAACUGAGAAUAUGCGAAGAAGCACUGUUCCCCCAUUACCUGCUGCAGCCUAGUCACCAGUAGCACUCAAUUUGUUUGAAGCCCAUUCGGUGACUUCAGUCAACUGUUUAUCCGUGGGUUUUUAAAAUAAUGACAUUUUGAGUAAAUUAUCCACCCUGUGCCCCUGGUGGUUACAAACGUCCUACAAUUAAUCAACUUCUCAUGAUUUAAUAUACACACUACGCCUUCGCUAAAAGUAACGCCUUCAAAUGCAGCAGCUCUACAACUAUUUCUCCAGUGAAGUAAACAGCCCACAUAAAAAUUGGCCAAUGGUACUCCUAGAGGGGAUUUCCUCACAUCUUUAACUUUACCAAUUGCUUGUGGUCUCUUCUCAGACUGCUAUGGCUGGUUCGACACCUGUAGAAUCAAGGUGAUUUUUGGCACGCAACAUGGAAAAACUGACUUCCAAAUGUCAUACCAAAGUCACUAGAUUAUUGUCCCAGCAAGAUAAGGACAAGGUUAAUGGAAUGCAAUACAUGGAUCAAGAGGCAGUUCCUUUUUUAAUCUAAAUUCUGCCACUGAAUUUCAGCGGCUGGGGAAAAUUUAAGAUGCCAAACAAUUUGUUCAAUAUGCGUUGGAAAACUUGAUGGAGACCAUGGAGUACAAACAAAGUUUGAGCUGGACAUAAAGAAUUGACAGUGGAUUAAUAUGUCAAUGUAUUCUGGAAUCUGACACUCGACUGAAAUUGCUGUUAUGGGCGGUCGACUUCAAAUGACAGAACCGUACAGGUCGAAGGAGGCUUAUGGAUAAAGAAGGGCGAGGCCUGUGCUCUUCAAGCAGGUAUUGUUUUUGUAAUCCUUGUCGUGGCUCUGCUAAAAUGUCGAACAGUAUUAAAUGCCAGUAUUUCUGUCUGCUUCAAAUAUGUAGAAGUCUCUCUUGCAGAACUAUUUGGACCCUUAAUUUGCCGUUGGCCAAUGUUUUAAGAAUGCGUUAAUUUGUAAAUGUUAGCCUGUGUGCGCAAGAAGAUGCUAACUUGUCAAAUUUUUCUGAAUGAGUUUCUAAAGUAGUGUUGUGAUUUCACACAGGACGGUCCAGAUAAGAAAACGGGCUCCUGCCUUGAGGAUCCUCGGAAGUGUUUAAGCGUUUUCAGCGUCCCGUAAAAGUGGAAAUAAGCAGCCAUCUUGAGUAUUUGACGGAACGUCAAGACAUUUUUUUAUUUUACAGUGGUUUUUUAUAUGUUCACUGGUACCGGUGGCUGCCCGCAUCCAGUU